GACGAACGCUGGCGGCGUGCUUAACACAUGCAAGUCGAACGAAGAGCGACGGAAGCUUGCUUCUAUCAAUCUUAGUGGCGAACGGGUGAGUAACGCGUAAUCAACCUGCCCUUCAGAGGGGGACAACAGUGGGAAACGACUGCUAAUCCCGCAUACGAUCUAAUCUCGGCAUCGAGGAUGGAUGAAAGGUGGCCUCGACAUGUAAGCUAUCACUGAAGGAGGGGAUUGCGUCUGAUUAGCUAGUUGGAGGGGUAACGGCCCACCAAGGCGAUGAUCAGUAGCCCGUCUGGGAGGAUGGACGGCCACAUUGGGACUGGGACACGGCCCCGACCCCUUCGGGAGGCAGCCGUGGGGGAUCUUCCGCAAUUGACGGAAGGCUGACGGAGCAACGCCGCGUGAGUGAUGACGGCCUUCGGGUUGUAAAGCUCUGUUAAUCGGGACGAAAGGCCUUCUUGCGAAUCGUGAGAAGGAUUGACGGUACCGGAAUAGAAAGCCACGGCUAACUACGUG
rnacentral:rRNA from 1 species